GAGUUUGAUCCUGGCUCAGAUUGAACGCUGGCGGCAGGCCUAACACAUGCAAGUCGAACGGUAACAGGAAGAAGCUUGCUUCUUUGCUGACGAGUGGCGGACGGGUGAGUAAUUUCUGGGAAACUGCCUGAUGGAGGGGGAUAACUACUGGAAACGGUAGCUAAUACCGCAUAACGUCGCAAGACCAAAGAGGGGGACCUUCGGGCCUCUUGCCAUCGGAUGUGCCCAGAUGGGAUUAGCUUGUUGGUGGGGUAACGGCUCACCAAGGCGACGAUCCCUAGCUGGUCUGAGAGGAUGACCAGCCACACUGGAACUGAGACACGGUCCAGACUCCUACGGGAGGCAGCAGUGGGGAAUAUUGCACAAUGGGCGCAAGCCUGAUGCAGCCAUGCCGCGUGUAUGAAGAAGGCCUUCGGGUUGUAAAGUACUUUCAGCGGGGAGGAAGGGAGUAAAGUUAAUACCUUUGCUCAUUGACGUUACCCGCAGAAGAAGCACCGGCUAACUCCGUGCCAGCAGCCG
rnacentral:rRNA from 1 species